GUUUUUGUCUUUUUGUUGUAGUUUUUUCUUUAGAAUUAUUAGAAUAUGUAAAUAAUGUAAUAUAAAUAAUGUUUAUAAAUUCUUUUAUAUUUACUUUAUUAUUUCAUUUAAAUUACUACAUUAUAAGCCAACAGGUUUGACUGGCAAUAUAAGUAAUGUUGUUCAUCGUUUAUAUUGUUUAUAACAUCGUCAGUUUUUAUAUGCAUUUAAUAUUUUUAAAAAUAGUUCAAAAGCUGUCAAAAUAAAAUGGUGAAUUGAGUUUAAACCAGAAAAGAUAUAAACGUAAUCUUUGGGAUUCAACUUGUAAGGAUGUUCCAAGAACCACUUAGUUGGAGAAGGAAAACUGUGCCGUUCAUUAACAAGUCCUGUGCUUUAUAAUAUAUUAAAAAAUGGAAGGACGUGAAGAAAACAGGCAGGAAUGUUUGACUGGAAAUAUAAACGAUGUUGUACAUAAUGCAGAUAGCUUAGGCAAAAAAGAGAUUGAUGAAAUGGAGAAUGAGACUAACUAGGGUGAAAAAAAAUGAAUAUUAAUAUGUGAAUAGUACUUUGUUUAACAUCUACCUGUUUCUACAGAUACAGUACAGACGCAUUUAUAAAUGGGCUUGAUGUUUUUUUGAAUUAAAUAUGUUGUAUUGA